rnacentral:tRNA from 2 species
GGUUCGCUAGCUCAGUUGGUAGAGCACUUCACUUUUAAUGAAGGGGUCGAUGGUUCGAGUCCAUCGCGAGCCACCA